rnacentral:rRNA from 1 species
GUGGGGAAUAUUGGACAAUGGGCGAAAGCCUGAUCCAGCCAUGCCGCGUGUGUGAAGAAGGUCUUCGGAUUGUAAAGCACUUUAAGUUGGGAGGAAGGGCAGUAAGCUAAUACCUUGCUGUUUUGGACGUUACCGACAGAAUAAGCACCGGCUAACUCUGUGCCAGCAGCCGCGGUAAUACAGAGGGUGCAAGCGUUAAUCGGAAUUACUGGGCGUAAAGCGCGCGUAGGUGGUUCGUUAAGUUGGAUGUGAAAGCCCCGGGCUCAACCUGGGAACUGCAUCCAAAACUGGCGAGCUAGAGUACGGUAGAGGGUGGUGGAAUUUCCUGUGUAGCGGUGAAAUGCGUAGAUAUAGGAAGGAACACCAGUGGCGAAGGCGACUACCUGGACUGAUACUGACACUGAGGUGCGAAAGCGUGGGGAGCAAACAGGAUUAGAAACCCUGGUAGUCC